rnacentral:rRNA from 1 species
UACAGAGGGUGCUAGCGUUGUUCGGAAUCAUUGGGCGUAAAGGGCGUGUAGGCGGUUUGUUAAGUCAGGGGUGAAAUCCUGGAGCUCAACUCCAGAACUGCCUUUGAUACUGAAGAUCUUGAGUUCGGGAGAGGUGAGUGGAACUGCGAGUGUAGAGGUGAAAUUCGUAGAUAUUCGCAAGACCACCAGUGGCGAAGGCGGCUCACUGGCCCGAUACUGACGCUGAGGCACGAAAGCGUGGGGAGCAAACAGG